rnacentral:other from 1 species
ACCCUGUGGUGUGCGUAAACGGGCGAAAAUUUAUAACCAACAGAUACAAUAAGGGAGCUUAAUCUCUGAGAGUGGUGUUUAUGCCCUCCAACUUAUGUUGUCAGAGGGAAAUCUAAAGCGAUCAGGAAGCACCCACCUGCGCAAGCAGGUUGUAAAUUUACCCUAAAACGGCACAACGGGGA